GAUGAACGCUAGCUACAGGCUUAACACAUGCAAGUCGAGGGGCAGCAUGAACUUAGCUUGCUAAGUUUGAUGGCGACCGGCGCACGGGUGAGUAACACGUAUCCAACCUGCCGAUGACUCGGGGAUAGCCUUUCGAAAGAAAGAUUAAUACCCGAUGGCAUAAUUCUUCCGCAUGGUAGAACUAUUAAAGAAUUUCGGUCAUCGAUGGGGAUGCGUUCCAUUAGGUUGUUGGCGGGGUAACGGCCCACCAAGGCGACGAUCAGUAGCCGGCCUGAGAGGGUGAACGGCCACAUUGGGACUGAGACACGGCCCAAACUCCUACGGGAGGCAGCAGUGGGGAAUAUUGCACAAUGGGGGAAACCCUGAUGCAGCGACGCCGCGUGAGUGAUGAAGUAUUUCGGUAUGUAAAACUCUAUCAGCAGGGAAGAUAAUGACGGUACCUGACUAAGAAGCACCGGCUAAAUACGUG
rnacentral:rRNA from 1 species